rnacentral:rRNA from 1 species
CUACGGGUCGCUGCAGUCGAGAAUCUUCGACAAUGGGCGAAAGCCUGAUCGAGCGACGCCGCGUGCAGGAAGAAGUUCUUCGGGACGUAAACUGCUUUUAGUGGGGAAAAACUCAAUGAUGGUACCCACAGAAUAAGGGCCUGCAAGAUCUCGUGCCAGCAGCCGCGGUAAGACGAGAGGCUCAAGCGUUGUCCGGAGUUACUGGGCGUAAAGGGUGUGUAGGGGGUCUUGUUAGUCUAUUGUUAAAGCCCUCGGCCCAACCGAGGAUCUGCAAUGGAAACGGCAAGACUAGAGGGUGCGAGAGGUAAGUGGAACUCACGGUGUAGGGGUGGAAUCCGUUGAUAUCGUGGGGAACACCAAAGGCGAAGGCAACUUACUGGCGCACGCCUGACCCUGAAACACGAAAGCGUGGGGAUCAAAAAGGAUUAGAUACCCUCGUAGUC